GAGCGGAACGGCCUUUGGGGUACUCGAGCGGCGAACGGGUGAGUAACACGUGAGUAACCUGCCCUCAGCUUUGGGAUAAGCCUGGGAAACUGGGUCUAAUACCGGAUAUGACCGUUGCCCGCAUGGGUGGUGGUGGAAAGUUUUCGGCUGGGGAUGGGCUCGCGGCCUAUCAGCUUGUUGGUGGGGUAGUGGCCUACCAAGGCGACGACGGGUAGCCGGCCUGAGAGGGCGACCGGCCACACUGGGACUGAGACACGGCCCAGACUCCUACGGGAGGCAGCAGUGGGGAAUAUUGCACAAUGGGCGGAAGCCUGAUGCAGCGACGCCGCGUGGGGGAUGAAGGCCUUCGGGUUGUAAACCUCUUUCAGCACCGACGAAUUUUGACGGUAGGUGUANAAGAAGCGCCGGCUAACUACGUGCCAGCAGCCGCGGUAAU
rnacentral:rRNA from 1 species